AUUGAACGCUGGCGGCAUGCCUUACACAUGCAAGUCGAACGGCAGCACGGGUGCUUGCACCUGGUGGCGAGUGGCGAACGGGUGAGUAAUACAUCGGAACAUGUCCUGUAGUGGGGGAUAGCCCGGCGAAAGCCGGAUUAAUACCGCAUACGAUCUACGGAUGAAAGCGGGGGCCCUUCGGGCCUCGCGCUAUAGGGUUGGCCGAUGGCUGAUUAGCUAGUUGGUGGGGUAAAGGCCUACCAAGGCGACGAUCAGUAGCUGGUCUGAGAGGACGACCAGCCACACUGGGACUGAGACACGGCCCAGACUCCUACGGGAGGCAGCAGUGGGGAAUUUUGGACAAUGGGCGAAAGCCUGAUCCAGCAAUGCCGCGUGUGUGAAGAAGGCCUUCGGGUUGUAAAGCACUUUUGUCCGGAAAGAAAUCCUUGGCCCUAAUACGGUCGGGGGAUGACGGUACCGGAAGAAUAAGCACCGGCUAACUACGUG
rnacentral:rRNA from 1 species